GAGCUGCAUGUCCAGUUGUACUCUGGACGGUUUGUUUGGGUGAAAGGAACAAUUGGUUGAAAGUUUGUUGGGGACAUGUUUUCUAUAAUGGUUUCUUUUGCCAAAAUGGUGUCUCCUAACAUUUCAUACUCUCGGCCAUCACUGUCUAUGGCAAUAGUUUUUUUUUGUUUUUGUUUAUAAACCUCUUCAUCGAAAUAAGGGUAUGUGCUGCUUGUGUGAAUCCAUUGACCUUGACAGAAAUUUUAAAAGGUAUCUAUGUUGACAUUGCACAUGUUUAGAAGUACUUUUUAAAAUGUCUUAUUUUAUUUAGUUAGUGGUUUCAUUCUGUUUAAAAUCAAUAUAAACAACGUUCACCUUAGUAGAAAUGUGUUGUCAAUUAGAUCUUGAAUGAUUAGUUUCCUGUGCUAGUUUUUAAGGGUAGAUCAUUACUAUUCAGCUUUUGUGAUAAGAUUGUGAAGAACUGUACGGUGGAACAUUUUGUUGGAAAAAGAGUUCAUAAAGUUGUGCUUUGGAUAGCAUAAUAAAGUAUGUUAAGUGUGUUCUUAGAACAAUUGGAGUAUGAGUAGUGGUGUUUGGGGAUUAGAAAGAACAGUGCAGAAAUUGGUGUAACAAAAAGGUGCAUGCAUAGGUUACUUAGUGUUUCUCAUUUUAAUGAAAGAAAUGCUUUGUUUGUGGAGAAAAGUAUUUGUAAUGUGUUGCAGUGUUUUUUUAAGAAUAGGGAAAAUGUGGCCUAGUGGUAAUGCAAUGGCGGAUUGUUGUUGUAGCACUGUUUGUUGUAUUAUAGUAGAGGUUGGAAAAGAAGAGAACUUUUAUGUAAGGUGAAGUGUUGUAUAUAGAUAGUUUGACAGUAUACACAUGUGUGAGCAGGCUGCUAAUGGUGGCAGUGUAAGGGGUGUAAUGAGUGAGGUAGGAAAGUGUCACAUAUUUAGGGAAUGGAAAAUGCUGAGCAUUUACAAAUGUUUCCUUUUAAGAGCAUUUUCAUGAAAGUAAAUAAAUGCAUAUGUGCAUUUAUAGGAAUACUCUGUUCAACUGUUUUGUAAAAUAAAAUAAAAGACAAUGGUAAAGAUUUGUAGCACUUGGUGUGUGUACAUUUAAUAUGUUGGCAGUGCAUGCAUACUUGGCAACAUAAUGCAUUUUAAUCUUUAGGUGGUUAUGUAGUCCAGUAUUAUUUUGUUUGCCUUGUGGGACUUGUAGAUCCACUUUUCCCUUUCUAAAACUAAGACUACAAGUUCCAAGUUGAACAGAAAGAAAGCAGGACUGGAUAAGCACCUACAAAUUGGAAUGGGCUAUGUUAGCAAGUAUGCGUUUACUGUCAAUAUAUGAUACUUCCACAUACCAAGUGUCACUUAAAAAUGUUGUAGAAAUGUUUUGCAUCUUCUUUUUCAUUCUUUUAGGAAAAAGUUACUCACAGUGCUGCUCUAAAUGCACAUAUGCAUUUUUUUACUUUCAUGAAAAUGUUCCUAAAAAGAAAAACAUUUAAACACACAUUUGAUAUUUUGCGUUCAAUAUAAAUGUGACAAUUUUGUAAUAUUCCAUUCCAGUCCUGUUGUUUUUCUUUGCAUUGUGGGCUUUGUAGUCUGAGUUGUAUAAUGGGAAAAGUGGAAUUACAAGUCAUAGAAUGCAAAGAAAUAAAAGAAGACUUGAUGAGUAACUACAGAUUGGAAUGGGUCAUGUUGGCAGGUAUGUAUGUACUGUCAACAUAUUAAACCUGCACACACCUAGUGCCACUUAAUUAAAACAAAGCAUCGCGAAGGCCCGCAGUGGGUGUUGACGUGAUGUGAUUUCUGCCCAGUGCUCUGAAUGUCAAAGUGGAGAAAUUUAAUGAAGCGCGGGUAAAUGGCGGGAGUAACCAUGUAGUAACUAUGUAGUAACUAUGGCUUUGUAGUCUGAGUUCUAUAAUGGGAAAAGUGGAAUUACAAGUCAUAGAAUGCAAAGAAAUAAAAGAAGACUUGAUGAGUAACUACAGAUUGGAAUGGGUCAUGUUGGCAGGUAUGUAUGUACUGUCAACAUAUUAAACCUGCACACACCUAGUGCCACUUAAUUAAAACAAAGCAUCGCGAAGGCCUGCAGUGGGUGUUGACGUGAUGUGAUUUCUGCCCAGUGCCCUGAAUGUCAAAGUGGAGAAAUUUAAUGAAGCGCGGGUAAAUGGCGGGAGUAACUAUGACUCUCUUAAGGUAGCCAAAUGCCUCAUCAUCUAAAUAGUGACGCGCAUGAAUGGAUGAACGUGAUUCCCACUGUCCCUACCUACUAUCUAGCGAAACCACUGCCAAGGGAAUGGGUGUGGCAGAAUCAGCGGGGAAAUCAACCCAGUUGAGCGUGACUUUAGUCUGGCACUUUGAAGAGACAUGAGAGGUGUAAGAUAAGUGGGAGGCCCUCGGGUCAUCGGUGAAAUACCAUUACUCAUCGUUUUUUCACUUACCCGGUGAGGCGGGGGGCGAGCCCUGUGGGGCUCUCGCUUCUGGAUCCAAAUGGCCAGCGCCGGCCGGGCGCGACCUGCUCCGGGGACAGUGGCAGGUGGGGAGUUUGAUUGGGGCAGUACACCUGUCAAACGAUAACACAGGUGUCCUAAGGCAACCUCGGGGAGGACAGAAACCUCCCGCGGAGCAGAAGGGCAAAAGCUCGCUCGAUCUCGAUUUUCAGUAUGAAUACAGACUGUGAAAGCAGGGCCUUGUGAUCCUUCUGACUUUUUGGGUUUCAAGCAGGAGGUGUCAGAAAAGUUACCACAGGGUUAACUGGCUUGUGGCAGACAAGCAUUCAUAGCAACGUCGCUUUUUGAUCCUUUGAUGUCGGCUCUUCCUAUCAUUGUGGAGCAGAAUUCACCAAGCGUUGGAUUGUUCACCCACUAAUAGCAAAUGUGAGCUGGCUGUAGACCGUCGUGAGACAGUUUAGUUUUACCCUACUGAUGAUGUGUCAUUGCAAUAGUAAUCCUGCUCAGUACGAGAGGAACCGCAGGUUCAGACAUUUGGUGUAUGUGCUUGGCUGAGGAGCCAAUGGGGCGAAGCUACCAUCUGUGGGGUUAUGACUGAACGGCUCUAAGUCAGAAUCCCCCCUAAACCGUAAUGAUACAGCAGUGCUGUGGAGCCUCGGUUGGCCUAGGAUAUCCGCCCUCUGGGCCGUAGAGCCGCUCGCCUCAGGACUCGAGUGUGGACAGAAGGGGGCCACCUCUCAUGCCUGUAGUGCACCGCAUGUUCGUGGGGAACCUGGUGCUAAAUCAUUCGUAGACGACCUGAUUCUGGGUCAGGGUUUCGUAAGUAGCAGAGCAGCUACCUCGCUGCGAUCUAUUGAAAGUCAUCCUCUGAGCCAAGCUUUUGUCGCAAGGCCCUCC
rnacentral:rRNA from 1 species